rnacentral:rRNA from 1 species
UACGUAGGGGGCAAGCGUUGUCCGGAAUCAUUGGGCGUAAAGAGCGUGUAGGCGGCCCGAUAAGUCCGCCGUGAAAGUCCAGGGCUCGACCCUGGAAUGCCGGUGGAAACUGUCGGGCUCGAGUCCGGAAGAGGCGAGUGGAAUUCCUGGUGUAGCGGUGAAAUGCGCAGAUAUCAGGAGGAACACCAAUGGCGAAGGCAGCUCGCUGGGACGGUACUGACGCUGAGACGCGAAAGCGUGGGGAGCGAACAGG